UUCCCUAUUCAGGAUACUCUG
rnacentral:piRNA from 1 species